rnacentral:rRNA from 1 species
CAAUGGCAAAAAUCAAAAUUGUUGUGGUUAAAAAGCUCGUAGUUGGAUUUCUGCCGAGGACGUCCGGUCUGCCCUCUGGGUGUGUACGUGGUACGGCCUGGGCAAAAGGAAAUUAGAGUGUUUCAAGCAGGCCCACGCCUUGAAUACAUUAGCAUGGAAUAAUGAGAUAGGACCUCGGUUCUAUUUUGUUGGUUUCUAGAGCUGAGGUAAUGAUGAAUAGGGAUAGUUGGGGGGCAUUCGUAUUUAACUGUCAGAGGUGAAUUUCUUGGAUUUGUUAAAGACGGACUACUGCGAAAGCAUUCGCCAAGGAUGUUUUCAUUGA